rnacentral:rRNA from 1 species
GACGAACGCUGGCGGCGUGCCUAAUACAUGCAAGUCGAACGCACUCUCGUUUAGAUUGAAGGAGUUUGCUCCUGAUUGAUAAACAUUUGAGUGAGUGGCGGACGGGUGAGUAACACGUGGGUAACCUGCCCUAAAGUGAGGGAUAACAUUUGGAAACAGAUGCUAAUACCGCCUAAAACCUAACACCGCAUGGUGUAGGGUUGAAAGAUGGUUUCGGCUAUCACUUUAGGAUGGACCCGCGGUGCAUUAGUUAGUUGGUGAGGUAAAGGCUCACCAAGACCGUGAUGCAUAGCCGACCUGAGAGGGUAAUCGGCCACACUGGGACUGAGACACGGCCCAGACUCCUACGGGAGGCAGCAGUAGGGAAUCUUCCACAAUGGACGAAAGUCUGAUGGAGCAACGCCGCGUGAGUGAAGAAGGUUUUCGGAUCGUAAAACUCUGUUGUUGGAGAAGAAUGUAUCUGAUAGUAACUGAUCAGGUAGUGACGGUAUCCAACCAGAAAGCCACGGCUAACUACGUG